CAGUUGGGUCCCCAUGUCAAUCAUGUGAGGUGACACAGCCACUGUGCAGGGCUCGGUCUGUGUCAUCUGCUCCUUAAGGAUGGCUGUGGUCACCUGGGUGCCACGCAGAGGACAACCGCCGCUUGGUGGCUCUGCCUGGGACAGGUCACUUAGUGUGAAGGUGACUGAGUGGCCACUGCUCUGUCCCUGCCCUGCUCCAGGCUGCGGGUGGCUGCCCACUGCCUGCUGCCGCUCACACAGGGGACCCUGCAGGGCUACCACCAAGCGGCCCGAUGGCACUGGCCACCUGCUGUGCAGCCCAUGGGGCAACUCAGGGACACGGGAUGACAUGGGAACCCUGCUACCAGGCUGGGGGAUGGUGGCUGAGGGCCCCCGUAGGGUCACACUGUCUGGUGGCAGCAGUGGGUUGGGGGCCAUAGGGGUCUGUGGGGUGGGGCUGGAGAUUGGAUGAAAUCUGUCCCCAAGGAGCAGGGCAGGGGUGAGCCCCACAGUGCCUGUUCCCUGUGCCUAGAGGGGAGAAGUGGUACAGCAUGAUGUCACCAAGGGAGGUGUGACAAGGAUUCCAGGGGUUCCUUCUGUGCAAGAUCCAGAGUGCCCGUGUGCUGCUCCCUGGGGACGAAGCAACCCUCUCUUCUCCAAAUUCCCUCAGUCCAUCCAAAGUUCUUCACCAAGAAGCAACCAGGCAUGCGCUCCCAGCACAUGGAGGGGACAGGCUGCCAGUACAGCCUCAAAGGACCCUGAGCAUCAGUAGAGCAAUAAGCCUGAGGCUUCUCUUGUGAUCCACAUGGUGCCAGCCUGGAGCUCAAGCUCCUCUUCCUCAUGGCUGUGCUACUCCCUUGUCCAGCUGCAGCAUCCCUGGGACAUCCUACUGCCACCACCUUGUCUUCUCCCUUGGAAUCAAGGUCUUCUCCAGACAGGGCUCAAACACUCCCAGGACAGGGAUGCCCCAGUACCCAGGGACCCAUCGCAGGGUGGCGGCAACCCACAGCACCAGAGGAUGAUGGAGGUGACAGGGACCUCAGGGUCCCACCCUGGUCCCACCCUGCUCCAGCAGGGACCCCAGGGCUGGUGCAGCCCCAUGUGAGCACACGAGUCCCAAAGAGGCCGGGCAGCGAGCGGGGAAGGAUUUAUUGACCGAGGGCCGGGGUACAUCACAGUUUGAGUUCCCUUCCCGCCUCCGCAGAGGACGUCGCGUUGGACUUCCCGGGCAAAGUGUGCGGAGAGGCUUCACAGUUUCAUCCUUCGAAAAUGAACCUGAAUAAAGAGCAUGAGAAGCACCACACGGCGCGGCCAUCCCGGGGGGGACCGGGACGUCCCCACGCCCGCCAGGACCUGGCUCAGCCCUGGGGGGAUGCAUGGCCCCCCAAAGGACACGGUGGUCACGGCGCAGUGGGGACGUGUGGAGCGCAAUGUGCCCAUCCCCGAGGUGCCACCCCGGUUGUCCUCGCUUGUGAGCACACGAGGACGUCCGAAGAGGAGUACGGGGACAGCGUCCCCCCACUGCUCGGGGGGGACAGGGACGCCCCUACUGUGCUGCAGUGCAAGUUCACGGAAACCCAAGGCACCUCCGGGCUGGGACAGGGGGACCCCCGGGUGUGCAGAGGGGGGGCCGUGUGGUCACCGAGUGAACGCAGAGGGGAAGUGUCCCCCCCACCCCUCGCUCCUGGGGGGCCCUAUGUACAGGGAGGGCCG
rnacentral:lncRNA from 1 species